rnacentral:rRNA from 1 species
CGGCGGACGGGUGAGUAACGCGUGGGUAACCUGCCUCAUACAGGGGGAUAACAGUUGGAAACGGCUGCUAAUACCGCAUAAGCGCACAGUACCGCAUGGUACGGUGUGAAAAACUCCGGUGGUAUGAGAUGGACCCGCGUCUGAUUAGGUAGUUGGUGGGGUAACAGCCUACCAAGCCGACGAUCAGUAGCCGACCUGAGAGGGUGACCGGCCACAUUGGGACUGAGACACGGCCCAA